rnacentral:rRNA from 1 species
UACGGAGGGUGCAAGCGUUAAUCGGAAUUACUGGGCGUAAAGGGUGCGUAGGCGGCCGGACAAGUCCUAUGUUAAAGCCUUCGGCUCAACCGAAGAAAAGCAUAGGAUACUGGCAGACUAGAGGGAGAAAGAGGCUGGCGGAACGCACGGUGUAGGGGUGAAAUCCGUAGAUAUCGGGAGGAACACCGGUGGGGAAGCCUGCCAGCUGGACGGAUCCUGACGCUGAGGCACGAAAGCGUGGGGAGCAAACCGG